rnacentral:rRNA from 1 species
AACGUAGGGGACAAGCGUUAUCCGGAUUUACUGGGCGUAAAGCGCCCGUAGGCGGCCUGACAAGUUGGACGUGAAAGCUCCUGGCUUAACUGGGAGAGGCCGUUCAAAACUGUCAAGCUAGAGUCUGGAAGAGGAGAGCGGAAUUCCCGGUGUAGUGGUGGAAUGCGUAGAGAUCGGGAGGAACACCAGUGGCGAAGGCGGCCUUCUGGACAGUGACUGACGCUGAGACGCGAAAGCGUGGGGAGCAAACAGG